GACGAACGCUGGCGGCGUGCUUAACACAUGCAAGUCGAACGGAAAGGCCCUGCUUUUGUGGGGUGCUCGAGAGGCGAACGGGUGCGUAACACGGGAGUACCCUGCCCUUGCCUGUGGGAUAACUUCAGGAAACUGGGGCUAAUACCGGAUAGGAGCGCCUGCUGCAGGGUGGUGGUUGGAAAGUUUCGGCGGGUUGGGAUGGACUCGCGGCUUAUCAGCCUGUUGGUGGGGUAGUGGCUUACCAAGGCAUUGACGGGUAGCCGGCCUGAGAGGGUGACCGGCCACAUUGGGACUGAGGUACGGCCCGGACUCCUACGUGAGGCAGCGGUGGGGGAUAGUGCACGAUGGGCGGCGUCCUGGUGCAGCAACGCCGCGUCCUGGAUGACGGCCUUCGGGUUGGAACCCGCUUUCGCCUGUGACGAAGCCUGUGUGACGGUAAUGGGUAAAGAAGCACCGGCUAACUACGUG
rnacentral:rRNA from 1 species